GCGUGCGCAGGCGGUUCUAUAAGACAGAUGUGAAAUCCCCGGGCUCAACCUGGGAACUGCAUUUGUGACUGUAGAGCUGGAGUACGGUAGAGGGGGAUGGAAUUCCGCGUGUAGCAGUGAAAUGCGUAGAUAUGCGGAGGAACACCGAUGGCGAAGGCAAUCCCCUGGACCUGUACUGACGCUCAUGCACGAAAGCGUGGGGAGCAAACAGGAUUAGAUACCCUGGUAGUCCACGCCCUAAACGAUGUCAACUGGUUGUUGGGAAGGUUCCUUCUCAGUAACGUAGCUAACGCGUGAAGUUGACCGCCUGGGGAGUACGGCCGC
rnacentral:rRNA from 1 species